rnacentral:lncRNA from 1 species
UUCACUACAUGUUAUGUUGAAUAAUGUGUAUAUAUGUGUUUCUGAAAGAUAAACUGUGAUGCUGAUGAAGAAAAGAUAAGUCUAAAAUUUAUAGAUCAUGUAUAAGAGAUCCAAAAUGUAGAAUGCACCUCUUAUGUUUGUUUUAGUUGCUACAAGUGUUGCUUUAGAGACUAUCAGUGCCCACCUGCAUUCAUUAUAUGUAGAAUACAUAGCUUUAAUCUCCGAUAAUCAUCACUCUUGCUUAAAGACUACAUAGCUAGAAAGUUUCAUCUUUCUGAAUUUAUGUCGACUAUACAUAAUAUCCAAACUACAUGAUCAUGUUUUGUGAUUAAUGGCUCGAGAUUGAUCACCACUUUUAAUUGGAAUCUGGAUGCAC